AGGUUAUUGACAAAGUGCCGAUUGCGGAGAGAACAGGUAGAACGUAAAGACGCCGUAAAUCCCUCACUGGAGGCUCGAGCCGCGCCAUC
rnacentral:ncRNA from 1 species